GUAGGUGGCAAGCGUUGUCCGGAAUUAUUGGGGCGUAAAGCGCGCGCAGGCGGUCCUUUAAGUCUGAUGUGAAAGCCCACGGGCUCAACCGUGGGAGGGGUCAUUGGAAACUGGGGGACUUGAGUGCAGAAGAGGAGAGUGGAAUUCCACGUGUAGCGGUGAAAUGCGUAGAGAUGUGGAGGAACACCAGUGGCGAAGGCGACUCUCUGGUCUGUAACUGACGCUGAGGCGCGAAAGCGUGGGGAGCGAACAGGAUUAGAUACCCUGGUAGUCCACGCCGUAAACGAUGAGUGCUUAGUGUUAGAGGGUUUCCGCCCUUUAGUGCUGCAGCUAACGCAUUAAGCACUCCGCCUGGGGAGUACGGUCGCAAAGACUG
rnacentral:rRNA from 1 species